GUAUAUCCAUGGCACACCUAUACUGUUCAAAGUAUGUCUGCCUUAGAAAAUCUUGUUAACAGUGAUCCUCUUUUCUGUAUUUAGGUUCUCCAGGCAAAGUUUAAGGAUUUCAAGUCAAACCGUUGGGUGGUUGAGUCACCAUACAGCCUCCUCCUUUCUGUGCAGCAUUGGCCAAACUAACUUGCGUGACUCUGAACGGUGAAGCCUGAGUAUCUGGGAAGUACAUGACUGACAAUGUGCACUGCAAAGGGGGCUUUGGCUAAAGGACGUCCAUAAGAGCAAGAAAACAAUUUUAUUAUCAAAGAGUGGCAACAGAAAUGGACAAAGGACAGCCUAUUUGCUCUCUUAUCUUCCUCCACAGCCUCUGGGCUCUCUUCUGGUUUGAUUUCAUCCUUCCCAUGUAAGAGCAAUCAGAAAGUGUGGCAGAUGGGCCAUCCCUGGUAGAAAUACCUCACUUAUGCU
rnacentral:lncRNA from 1 species